rnacentral:rRNA from 1 species
AUUGAACGCUGGCGGCAUGCCUCACACAUGCAAGUCGAACGGCAGCACGGGAGCAAUCCUGGUGGCGAGUGGCGAACGGGUGAGUAAUAUAUCGGAACGUGCCCAGUCGUGGGGGAUAACGCAGCGAAAGCUGUGCUAAUACCGCAUACGAUCUAAGGAUGAAAGCGGGGGAUCGCAAGACCUCGCGCGAUUGGAGCGGCCGAUAUCAGAUUAGCUAGUUGGUGGGGUAAAGGCCCACCAAGGCGACGAUCUGUAGCUGGUCUGAGAGGACGACCAGCCACACUGGAACUGAGACACGGUCCAGACUCCUACGGGAGGCAGCAGUGGGGAAUUUUGGACAAUGGGGGCAACCCUGAUCCAGCCAUUCCGCGUGAGUGAAGAAGGCCUUCGGGUUGUAAAGCUCUUUCGGCAGGAACGAAACGGCGAGCUCUAACAUAGCUUGCUAAUGACGGUACCUGAAGAAGAAGCACCGGCUAACUACGUGCCAGCAGCCGCCGUAAAAC